rnacentral:rRNA from 1 species
CGAAGGCGAUGGCUUCACGGUUAAUAUUCCGUGACUUGCUCAUUCAGCGAUGUGGAGACGGAGCAGUGACACUGUCGCGCCCUUACGGAUAUGGGCGUUAAAGAAGUUAGGUGUAGAUAGAUGUAGGCAAAUCCGCAUUUAGAGCUGAUCUUCUAUAGUACAGAGUUUUCUUCGGAGAGCUUUGAUAGUACAGGUAAUCAUACUUCCAAGAAAAUCCGCUAAGCUUAAUGUUUGAGCAACCCGUACCGUAAUCGGACACACGUAGUCGGGUAGAACAUACUAAGGCGUUGAGAGAUUCAUGGUUAAGGAACUAGGC